AUUGAACGCUGGCGGCAUGCCUUACACAUGCAAGUCGAACGGUAACAGGUCUUCGGAUGCUGACGAGUGGCGAACGGGUGAGUAAUACAUCGGAACGUGCCUAGUAGUGGGGGAUAACUACUCGAAAGAGUGGCUAAUACCGCAUGAGAUCUACGGAUGAAAGCAGGGGAUCGAAAGACCUUGUGCUACUAGAGCGGCCGAUGGCAGAUUAGGUAGUUGGUGGGAUAAAAGCUUACCAAGCCGACGAUCUGUAGCUGGUCUGAGAGGACGAUCAGCCACACUGGGACUGAGACACGACCCAGACUCCUACGGGAGGCAGCAGUGGGGAAUUUUGGACAAUGGGCGAAAGCCUGAUCCAGCAAUGCCGCGUGCAGGAUGAAGGCCUUCGGGUUGUAAACCGCUUUUGUACGGAACGAAAAGCCCUGGGUUAAUACCCUGGGGUCAUGACGGUACCGUAAGAAUAAGAACCGGCUAACUACGUGCCAGCCGCCGCCGUAACAC
rnacentral:rRNA from 1 species